rnacentral:rRNA from 1 species
GACGAACGCUGGCGGCGUGCCUAAUACAUGCAAGUCGAGCGAUGUUUUUCUGAUCCUUGCACCGGUAAAACUUUUCCGCACACGUGUGAGUCACACGUAAAGCACCUGCCUUAUCGACUGGUACCACUAUUGGAAACUAUCGCUAAUCCCAGAUAACAGCAUUUACUACGUUGUUGCUUUUUGAAAGUUGGUUUUGCUAACACUAUGAGAUCGCUUUGCGGUGCAUUAGCUAGUUGGUGGGGUAACGGCCUACCAAGGCGACGAUGCAUAGCCGACCUGAGAGGGUGAUCGGCCACACUGGGACUGAGACACGGCCCAGACUCCUACGGGAGGCAGCAGUAGGGAAUCUUCCGCAAUGGGCGAAAGCCUGACGGAGCAACGCCGCGUGAGUGAAGAAGGAUUUCGGUUCGUAAAGCUCUGUUGUUAGGGAAGAACGAUUGUGUAGGAAGAAUACACAGUAGAGAAGGGAACUAAACAGAAAGGCAAGGCUAAAUAAGUG